CAAAAGCUUAAAAGGGGAUUAUAAACACAAAAUAACAGAGGCAAGCAAAGUUUCUUGGUAACAGCAUUUUCUCAGGUGUUAUCUGUUUACUACAGAAAAUCAGAAGCUCCCAGCUCCUUUAAGAGAGGUUUCUUGACUCAGAGUUAACAGCAAAAACUGCAUGGCUCUUAAAAGAAGCCCUGUUACCAAACAAUUCAAUGAUGUUUACAAACAGCCAGCAACAUGCUUCUUGGUGGUGACUAGAAACUCUGCAGAGUUGUGGCAAUAAGUAUGGUUCCCACCAGUACUUCACCAUGAAGCUACUCUCAGAAAGCCAAGAAAUAGAAUGGGACCAGACACCUCUUUAAUUUAGCCAUACUGUUUAGCAGAUAAGACUCAUGUGGUUAGAAAAAAAGAUAGAGAUAUACAGUAAAGAUAGAUUCAGAGAAACAAAACCAUAUACAUAGGCUUGAGAGAGAAAAGGAAAAAAGCAAAAAUAAAAAAUAAAAAAAAAUAGAGUAUCUGGGUGUGGUGGCACAGGCCUUUAAUCCAAGCAGCUGGUAAGCAGAGGCAAGCAGAUCUCUUCGAUUUCAAGGCCAGCCUAGUUUAUAAAGUGAAUUCCAGGACAACCAAUGUUACACAGAGAAAACCUGUCUCAAAAAAUGAAAGUAAAAGAAAUAGAGUAAUAAAAUAAAAAAAGUCACAUAAAGAUGGAAAGUACACAGAAAGUCUGGAUAGUGUAUGUUAUUGUGUUGUCUUUAAAUUUCUGCUAAAGGAGAAACAGUUGCUAAAAGACAUUUGAUUAUAAAUGCUGCUAGAUAAAUCCAACCUAUAUAUUUUGAAUAUUCCUUGACUUUAAAGUUCAAGUAUAAGGACAUGUUACUUUGGAAAAGAGACUGUUUUUGUUUCCACAGAUGAUGAAAAGCUGUGGAUUCCUUCCAGACUAAUAAGGUUUGAUGAAGCAAAAGCCCCUUGGAGCAAUGGCCCAGACAGAAAAGAUGAGAUGAUGGAGGAUGUUCUUCUGUAUACAUGUUUGUGUUAUUGGUUGGAGAAUAAAACACUGGCCAGUAGCUACCAGAUGAGGAGAAUUCUGGGGAGAGGACAAAGAGAGGAGCCACAGGGAAAGCCAUGUAGCUACAGUGAAGAUGGGAUUGCUGGGUGUUCUUUGAUUUUCCAGGCCUGUAGGCUGAAGAUGGAUGCUCCAAUGUGCAAAGGAACCUUGGAUGAUUAUCCAGUCAGCCAACUGUUUAUGUUAUUUCUACAGUUUUGGAAAUUGCUUGCUCUGCACUUCCUGUUUACUCAGGCGGUCAAUAAACUCUCCAAACAGAGCAACCUCUUGGGCUUGUGAGCAUCUGCAAGAAGAAAAUUUCAUACCCUACAGCCUGGAAAAGGAAAUGCCUCAACCAAUUUUCCUGCACAGUGUGGAUGGAGUGACAAACACCUUCCCAGAGAGCCUCCAAGGAGGCAAACAAGGCAGAGGAGAGAAAGAACAUAGAAAAAUCCAUGUCUUGCAAAUGCCAAGAGAGAAAACAAUCAAAUUAUCUGGUGCCUGCUGUCUUCUUCUGAUCACCAGCCAGGUUCAGGGGGAGGGGAAUCCAUAUCCAUCCGGUUCAUUCCUUUCCCUGAACACACUCCUGCAUCUCAGGAAUCAGAUAACAGCAGGUGCUGUGACAUUAUGGCAAACAUUCUUGUCCUGGAGGAGUGGAU
ensembl:lncRNA